rnacentral:rRNA from 1 species
UACGUAGGGUGCAAGCGUUGUCCGGAAUUAUUGGGCGUAAAGAGCUCGUAGGCGGUCUGUCGCGUCGGAUGUGAAAACCCAGGGCUCAACCCUGGGCCUGCAUUCGAUACGGGCAGACUAGAGUUCGGUAGGGGAGACUGGAAUUCCUGGUGUAGCGGUGAAAUGCGUAGAUAUCGAGAGGAACACCUGCGGCGAAGGCGGGUUGCUGGGCUGAUACUGACGCUGAGGCGCGAAAGCCAGGGGAGCGAACGGG